GAUGAACGCUGGCGGCGUGCCUAAUACAUGCCAGUCGAGCGAACGGACGAGAAGCUUGCUUCUCUGAUGUUAUCGGCGGACGGGUGAGUAACACGUGGAUAACCUACCUAUAAGACUGGGAUAACUUCGGGAAACCGGAGCUAAUACCGGAUAAUAUUUUGAAACGCAUGGUUCAAAAGUGAAAGACGGUCUUGCUGUCACUUAUAGAUGGAUCCGCGCUGCAUUAGCUAGUUGGUAAGGUAACGGCUUACCAAGGCAACGAUGCAUAGCCGACCUGAGAGGGUGAUCGGCCACAUUGGAACUGAGACACGGUCCAGACUCCUACGGGGGGCAGCAGUAGGGAAUCUUCCGCAAUGGGCGAAAGCCUGACGGAGCAACGCCGCGUGAGUGAUGAAGGUCUUCUGCUCGUAAAACUCUGUUAUUAGGGAAGAACAUAUGUGUAAGUAACUGUGCACAUCUUGACGGUACCUAAUCAGAAAGCCACGGCUAACUACGUG
rnacentral:rRNA from 1 species